rnacentral:rRNA from 1 species
AGAGUUUGAUCCUGGCUCAGAACGAACGCUGGCGGCGUGCUUAACACAUGCAAGUCGAACGCGAAAGGGACUUCGGUCCCGAGUAGAGUGGCGCACGGGUGAGUAACGCGUAAGUAAUCUACCCCUGUAUCUGGAACAACCCACCGAAAGGUGAGCUAAUACCGGAUACGUUUAUCUUGAUGCGAAUGAUGAUAAAGAAAGGUGGCCUCUUCAUGAAAGCUACUGUACAGGGAUGAGCUUGCGUACCAUUAGCUAGUUGGUAGGGUAAAGGCCUACCAAGGCGACGAUGGUUAGCGGGUCUGAGAGGAUGAUCCGCCACACUGGAACUGGAACACGGACCAGACUCCUACGGGAGGCAGCAGUGAGGAAUAUUGCGCAAUGGGGGCAACCCUGACGCAGCGACGCCGCGUGGAUGAUGAAGGCCCUUGGGUCGUAAAAUCCUGUCAGAUGGAAAGAAAUGUAUAGCAGCUAACAUCUGUUAUAUUUGACGGUACCAUCAAAGGAAGCACCGGCUAACUCCGUGCCAGCAGCCGCGGUAAUACGGAGGGUGCGAGCGUUGUUCGGAAUUACUGGGCGUAAAGCGCGCGUAGGCGGUUUGCUAAGUCAGAUGUGAAAGCCCUCGGCUUAACCGGGGACGUGCAUUUGAAACUGGCAGACUUGAGUACUGGAGGGGGUGGUGGAAUUCCCGGUGUAGAGGUGAAAUUCGUAGAUAUCGGGAGGAAUGCCGGUGGCGAAGGCGACCACCUGGCCAGAUACUGACGCUGAAUUGCGAAAGCUAGGGGAGCAAACAGAAUUAGAUACUCUGGUAGUCCUAGCCGUAAACGAUGAGUACUAGGUGUUGGGUCGUCAAGACUCGGUGCCGCAGCUAACGCAUUAAGUACUCCACCUGGGGACUACGGCCGCAAGGUAAAACUCAAAGGAAUUGACGG